GCCGGGCAUGGUUAUGUGUGCCUGUAGUCCCAGCUACUAUGGAGGCUGAGGUGGGAGGAUUGCUUGAGCCCAGGAAGUCAAGGCUGCAGUGAGCCAUGUUCAUGUCACUGUACUCCAGCCUGGGCAACAGAGUGAGACUCUGUCUCAU
ensembl:misc_RNA Metazoa_SRP Metazoan signal recognition particle RNA